rnacentral:rRNA from 1 species
AUGUAUAGCAAUAGCUACUUGUAUCAUUGUAAAUAUGAUGCAAGAUCGACUAUGUCGAAUAAAAUUCUAGGUAGAAUUAUGAUAAUGACAUUGUCUGCCUAUGUGUCUUGACCAAAUUACGUGCCAGCAGUCGCGGUAAUACGUAGAAGACUAGUGUUAUUCAUGUUUAAUCGGUUUAAAGGGUACCUAGACGGUAAAUCAAGCCUAAAAGAAAAUAAAUGAAGGGACUAAUUUACUAGAGUUACUUAUGAGGGGGUAUUAAAGUACUGCUGGUGUAGAGAUGAAAUUCUGUCAUACCUCUUUUCAAUAGAAAAAUAAUGGCACAGGUAUAGGCGAAAGCAUCCCCUUAUGUGAUAACUGACGUUGAGGGACGAAGGCUUUGUGUAGCGAACAGGAUUAGAUACCCCAGUAGUCAAAGCAGAAAAUGAUGAAUGUCAUAGAUUAGAUAUAUAAGUUUAUUCUAUAAAUGAAAGUGUAAGCAUUCCACCUCAAGAGUAAUUUGGCAACAUUGGAACUGAAAUCAUUAGACCGUUUCUGAAACCAGUAGUGAAGUAUGUUGUUUAAUUUGAUGAUCCGCAAAAAACCUUACCACAAUUUGAAUAUUUAUAUCUUUUAUUGUUUUUCUUUUUAACUUUCUUCUGAUUUUCUACUUAAAAGAAAACAAUAACAAGAAAAAAGAGGCAAUAAGAUAUAUUUACAAGCGUUGCACGGCUGUCUUCAGUUAAUGUCGCGAGACUAUGGUUAGUUCCAUUAAAUUAACGUAAACCCUUACUUUAUUUUUAUAUAGAGUAGUUCCCCGCUAUAUUGGAUAUGAUAACA